GUGCUCGCUUCGGCAGCACAUACACUAAAAUUAGAACAAUACAGAGAAGAUUAGCGUGGCCCCUGUGCAAGGAUGACAUGCAAAUUCGUGAAGCAUUCCAUAUUUUU
ensembl:snRNA U6 U6 spliceosomal RNA